CCGCUGGUGGCUCGACCGCUCGGGGCCCCGGCCCCUGGAGGGGCGGCCGGUCGCACGCUGGCUGCGGGCGGCGCGGUUCGCCCUGCGCCGGCGCC
rnacentral:tRNA from 1 species